CCCAUUUUUAACAAAACUAAAGAAGCAUAGCUCAUGCUCAAAACUAGUAUUGUCAAUUCCCCAAGUUGCAGCAAUAAUAUAUUAGAAAUACAUUAAAUUUAGCUUGGUGGAUUAUUUACAUUGAUGUAGAGAUGACUUUUUAUUGGUUAAGUGUGGGUAUAGACCUAAUUCAAAUGAAUAAAAUAGUAAUUGUGGCAUUAACAAGGGAA
rnacentral:lncRNA from 1 species